UACGUAGGGGGCUAGCGUUGUCCGGAUUUAUUCGGCGUAAAGCGCGUGUAGGCGGUCCGGUAAGUCCGCUGUGAAAGUCGGGGGCUCAACCCUCGGAUGCCGGUGGAUACUGUCGGGCUUGAGUACGGAAGAGGCGAGUGGAAUUCCUGGUGUAGCGGUGAAAUGCGCAGAUAUCAGGAGGAACACCAAUUGCGAAGGCAGCUCGCUGGGACGUUACUGACGCUGAGACGCGAAAGCGUGGGGAGCAAACAGG
rnacentral:rRNA from 1 species